UACGGGGGGGGCAAGCGUUGUUCGGAAUUACUGGGCGUAAAGGGCGUGUAGGCGGUGAUGCAAGUCUCUCGUGCAAACCCCUGGCUCAACCGUGGAAUUGCGAGAGAAACUCUCUGUCUUGAGUCCGGGAGAGGUGGGAGGAAUUCCCAGUGUAGCGGUGAAAUGCGUAGAUACUGGGAAGAACACCGGUGGCGAAGGCGGCUUUCUGGACCGGUACUGACGCUGAGGCGCGAAAGCUAGGGGAGCAAAUGGG
rnacentral:rRNA from 1 species